UGAGGAAUAUUGCGCAAUGGGGGAAACCCUGACGCAGCGACGCCGCGUGGAGGACGAAGGCCUUCGGGUCGUAAACUCCUGUCAAGAGGGACGAAUGCGGAGAGGAUGAAUAAGCCUCCUCGUUGACGGUACCUCUGGAGGAAGCCCCGGCUAACUCCGUGCCAGCAGCCGCGGUAAUACGGAGGGGGCCAGCGUUGUUCGGAAUUAUUGGGCGUAAAGGGCGCGUAGGCGGCUUGGUAAGUUGGUUGUGAAAUCCCUCGGCUCAACCGAGGAACUGCGACCAAAACUGCCGGGCUUGAGUCCCGGAGAGGGUAGCGGAAUUCCCAGUGUAGCGGUGAAAUGCGUAGAUAUUGGGAGGAACACCAGUGGCGAAGGCGGCUACCUGGACGGGUACUGACGCUGAGGCGCGAAAGCGUGGGGAGCAAACAGGAUUAGAUACCCGUGUAGUCC
rnacentral:rRNA from 1 species